ACUCCAUGGUGAGGACAAAAUCUAGUGUAACCCUUCAAUCCUUCCCAAGCUUCAUGGAGAGCUUCGUGGGGGCCUUGUUUGAAGCUCGUGAUAUCAUUCCUAAUUCU
rfam:Arabis alpina cultivar Pajares scaff_67875_1_contig_17, whole genome shotgun sequence.